rnacentral:rRNA from 1 species
GGUUUUUUGAGUUUAGAUAAAAAAUCAGGCCUGCCCACUGAUGAAGGGCUGCAGUAUUUUGACUGUACAAAGGUAGCAUAAUCAUUAGUCUUUUAAUUGGGGACUGGUAUGAAAGGUUAGACGGGAAUAAGCUGUCUCAAUUGUAAGAAUAAACUUUAUUUUUAAGGAAAAGAGCUUAAAUUUUUCAAGGGGACGAGAAGACCCUAUUAAAUUUGAUAUAGUAAGUUAUUUUUGGUUGUAUAAAAGAAGUAAAUGUAUAUUAAUUUUGCUGGGGCGGUGUGUUUAUAACUUUAUUAUAAUUUAAUUUAGUAAAUAGCGAGUUUUUGAUCCAAGGAGAUUGAUAUUAGAUAAAAUUACUAUAGGGAUAACAGCGUGAUAUUUUUUGAGAGUUCUUAUUGACAAGAAUGUUUGCGACCUCGAUGUUGGAUUAAGAAGUCUUAUUGGUGCAGUAGUUUUUGAAGAAGGUCUGUUCGACCUUUAAAUUCUU